UACGGAGGAUCCUAGCGUUGUCCGGAUUUAUUGGGUUUAAAGGGUGCGUAGGCGGACCAUUAAGUCAGAGGUGAAAGUUUGCAGCUUAACUGUAAAAUUGCCUUUGAAACUGGUGGUCUUGAGUAUAGUUGAGGUGGGCGGAAUGUGUCAUGUAGCGGUGAAAUGCUUAGAUAUGAUACAGAACACCGAUUGCGAAGGCAGCUCACUAAACUAUAACUGACGCUGAGGCACGAAAGCGUGGGGAGCAAACAGG
rnacentral:rRNA from 1 species